AUUGAACGCUGGCGGCAGGCCUAACACAUGCAAGUCGAGCGGAUGAAGGGAGCUUGCUCCUGGAUUCAGCGGCGGACGGGUGAGUAAUGCCUAGGAAUCUGCCUGGUAGUGGGAGAUAACGUCCGGAAACGGGCGCUAAUACCGCAUACGUCCUGAGGGAGAAAGUGGGGGAUCUUCGGACCUCACGCUAUCAGAUGAGCCUAGGUCGGAUUAGCUAGUUGGUGGGGUAAAGGCCUACCAAGGCGACGAUCCGUAACUGGUCUGAGAGGAUGAUCAGUCACACUGGAACUGAGACACGGUCCAGACUCCUACGGGAGGCAGCAGUGGGGAAUAUUGGACAAUGGGCGAAAGCCUGAUCCAGCCAUGCCGCGUGUGUGAAGAAGGUCUUCGGAUUGUAAAGCACUUUAAGCUGGGAGGAAGGGCAGUAAGUUAAUACCUUGCUGUUUUGACGUUACCAACAGAAUAAGCACCGGCUAACUUCGUG
rnacentral:rRNA from 1 species